GCACAGAGUUAGCCGUCCCUUCCUCUUUCGCUACUAUCAAUGGUUCACGUGUUAGGUGAAACAACUUGUUCGCAAAUGACAGGGGUUUACGGGCCGAAGCCAUUCAUCCCCCACGCGGCGUCGCUCCAUCAGGCUUUCGCCCAUUGUGAAAAAUUCUCGACUGCUGCCACCCGUAGGUGUCUGGACCGUGUCUCAGUUCCAGUGUGGCUGGUCGUCCUCUCAGACCAGCUACCCGUCUUAGCCUUGGUGAGCCGUUACCUCGCCAACUAGCUGAUAGGCCGCGGGCUCAUCGUGAAGUGCCAGGCCUUACGGUCCCCAGCUUUGAAGUCCAAAAGAUGCCUUCCAAACUUCACAUCCGGUAUUAGCUCGCCUUUCAGCGAGUUAUUCCAGGCUUCACGGCAGAUUACCCACGUGUUACGCACCCUUGCGCCGCUGAACAUCCAGAAUAUUGCUACCCUGAAUAUCCCGCUCGACUUGCAUGUCUUAUCCACGCCGCCAGCGUUCGUU
rnacentral:rRNA from 1 species